UACGGAGGGUGCAAGCGUUAUCCGGAUUCACUGGGUUUAAAGGGUGCGUAGGCGGGCAGGUAAGUCCGUGGUGAAAUCUCUGAGCUUAACUCAGAAACUGCCAUGGAUACUAUUUGUCUUGAAUAUUGUGGAGGUAAGCGGAAUAUGUCAUGUAGCGGUGAAAUGCUUAGAUAUGACAUAGAACACCAAUUACGAAGGCAGCUUACUACACAGUUAUUGACGCUGAGGCACGAAAGCGUGGGGAUCAAACAGG
rnacentral:rRNA from 1 species